CUUGUCUUUUUCCUUUUUUGUGAGUGCCAUAGACAAUGUAUGUUGAUUUUAGAUUAUUUCUGUCACUUUCAGCUGAAAGAGUUCAGACCAAUUCAUCCCCAUGGGCAGAAUCAGGGACACCCUCCUGGACACCCAGAUCCUCUGGUACCACCCUCACCACUGCAAUCACCACGAAAAACUGCACCAGAAAUAGGUGGCCCUGCCCCUGAUGUUUUUGUGAUGAUAUCAACUUUGGCUUACCUCCUCCCUUCUUUCUUGAAAUUUGAGUGUGGCCCAGGGAAGCCAAAAGAUUGGAUAUCCCUGCCUUAGAAGAAUCACGUGCAAACUCACCCACAGGGGCUUUUCCUUAGGACUGCCUCACAGCAUGGAAGCCAGCUUCUCCAGGACGACUGAUCCAAGAGACAGCAAGAGAGUGUCCAAGACAGAAGUCACCAUCUCUUGGUAACCUCAUCUCAGAAGCAACAUGCUCAUCCCCUCUGCCACAUUUUGUGCAUUAGAAAUGAGUCAUUAAGUCCAGCCUACACUUGAAGGGAGGAAAUUACAUAAGGGUAUGAGUACCAAGAGGUGGGUUAAUUGGGGCAAUUUCAGAGGCUACCUGCCACAGGUAAGUUAUUAUUAUCCUUCAUUUCAUACCUAGACACCCAGCUAGUUAAGCAGCUGGUCCAGGUCACCCAGCAGAGAGUGAUCUGAGUCCAAAGUGGUUUUCUAUUCCCCAGGCUGGUAGGGGUGUGAGAUGGAGGAAGGCAGGGAGAAGUUACUUGCAGGAAAAAAAAAUUAGGAUGAUGUCUCUGUUAUUUAUCUAACUAGCUAAAUUAAUAACUCUGUUAUUUAUCUAACUAGUAUCUUUAGCUAUGUAACUAAUUACCAACAACUUAAUGGCUUAAAGCAAACAUUUAUUAUCUUAUAGUUCCUAUGGAUCAGGAAUUUGGUGACAACUGAGCUGAGUGGUUGUCAGUCUCCUAUGAGGCUGUGGUUCAGCUGUGGGCUGGGGAUGCUGCUUUGAAGACCUAACCAGGGCUGAGGCGCUACUUCCAAGAGACUCCAUUCACAUAGCUGCUGGUGGGAGGCUUCCUUCUUCACCACGCAGACACCUCGAGCUUCUUUAGGACAGGGCAGCUGGCUUCCCCCAGAACAGGUGAUUCAAGAGCAGAUAAGCAAAGCCUGAGUGUCUUUUGUGACGUAGCCUCAGGAGUCAUAACUGUCAUUUCUGCAAUAUCCUGUUGAUUACACAGGAUAGGUCAGUCCUAUUCACUGUGGGAGGUGAUUACAGAAGGGCAUGGGAAUACCAGGAGAUCAGGAUCACUGGAGGCUGACUAUUUACCACAGGGUUCCACAAGGUUGAUAACCUGAAAACUUAACUUUUAUCGCUGCUUCCCUGCUCAAAGAGACCCAGAGCCUUCCCAUGUACUACAGCACACAAUCUGAUUUUCUUAGCUCCAUCUCCCACUGGCUCCUGAGUGGAUGGACUGUCUGGGACUGACAGCCUGGUCUGCUAAUGGACCUCACCAGUCCCACAGCUGAGGCUCUUGUUGAUACCUCCCCUCCCAUCCUCUGUUCUGUGGGAAGGCCUGGCUCCCUGGGAAGCCUCCAUUCAGCAUUCAAAGCAUAGUUAGCCAGGAUCUGGCUGGAUGCUAGGAUAUGAUGGUGAUAUCACCUUCUCUCAGGGAACUUUCACUCAGAUAGAGAGGUAGUUACCAGCGAAUUAAUAAUAAACAAAUCACACAUCAUGCCAAGUUCUCCCAGGGAAACCUACAGGGUACCAUGGGAUUAUAUAAUAGGGGACUGGCCUAGUCCAUGAGCACUGGAGCAGUCAAGUAGCCAACCAGGCUGCAUAGGAGUAUCAGCAUUGGGUUUAGUGUUAAGUGUCUGAAAAUGCAAAAUAACAAUAGCUUAAGUAAGACAGAUGUUUAUUUCUCUUGGGCAGGUGUUUGAGGUGCCACUCAGAGACAGGAACUCAGGUUCUUUCUGUCUCGUUGCUCUGCUCUGUAUGGCCUCUAUCUUAUGGUCCAGGAUGAUGACACCUACAAUCCUGGCAGCCAAAUGGAGAAAGGGACACAGAGGGUAAAGCAGACAUACCAACUAUCCCAGACUAUGGAAUGAGUGGAAAAGUGAAGGAGUCUGAUUGAGUUGUUUUCACAAGCAUUAAUGAAAGGAUUAAAUUGAUGUGUAUGAGUGCAACAGAAUCUGUUGUAAUUUCUCUUUAAAUAAAGCUGUCUUUGGGGAAAACGAGACACUUCCCUUCACUUUUCAAUGCCACCUCUAGCUACAAAGGAAGCUGGGAAAUGUAACUUUCUUUUUUUGUUUUGAGACGGUGUUUUGCUCUUACUGCCCAGGCUGGAGUGCAGUGGCACGAUCUUUACUCACUGCAAUCUCUGCCUCCCGGGUUCAAGCGAUCCUCCUGCCUCAGCCUUCCAAGUAGCUGGGUUUACAGACAUGUACCACCACACCCGGCUA
ensembl:lncRNA